GGUCCAAAUUUGAAGUAGAGUAGAUAAGUAGGAUCCGCUGACCCAACUUAACUAUUCUACUUCGAGUUUGUGCCC
rfam:Haemonchus placei strain MHpl1 genome assembly, scaffold: HPLM_contig0002264